GGUUAAGCGACUAAGCGUACACGGUGGAUGCCCUGGCAGUCAGAGGCGAUGAAGGACGUGCUAAUCUGCGAUAAGCGCCGGUAAGGUGAUAUGAACCGUUAUAACCGGCGAUUUCCGAAUGGGGAAACCCAGUGUGACUCGUCACACUAUCAUUAACUGAAUCCAUAGGUUAAUGAGGCGAACCGGGGGAACUGAAACAUCUAAGUACCCCGAGGAAAAGAAAUCAACCGAGAU
rnacentral:rRNA from 1 species